CGCGUAGGCGGUUAGGCAAGUUGGAUGUGGAAUCGUCCGGCUCAACUGGACGGGGCCGUUCAAUACUGCUUGACUUGAGCACGGUAGGGGAGAGUGGAACUCCUGGUGGAGCGGUGAUAUGCGUAGAUAUCAGGAGGAACGCCGGCGGCGAAGGCGACUCUCUGGGCCGUAGCUGACGCUGAGGCGCGAAAGCUAGGGGAGCGAACG
rnacentral:rRNA from 1 species